UACGUAGGGGGCAAGCGUUGUCCGGAAUCAUUGGGCGUAAAGAGCGUGUAGGCGGCCCGAUAAGUCCGCUGUGAAAGUCCAGGGCUCAACCCUGGGAUGCCGGUGGAUACUGUCGAGCUCGAGUCCGGAAGAGGAGUGUGGAAUUCCUGGUGUAGCGGUGGAAUGCGCAGAUAUCAGGAGGAACACCAAUAGCGAAGGCAGCUCGCUGGGACGGUACUGACGCUAAGGUGCGAAAGCGUGGGGAGCGAACAGG
rnacentral:rRNA from 1 species